AUCACUUCUCAGCCUUUUGGCUAAGAUCAAGCGUAGGAUCUGUUCUUAUCAGAUUUACUUCCUUCCCACGAUAAUCUUUAAGAGGUAAUGUGGUACAACUCACAUUAGUAGAUUUUAGAAUAUUUGCUGAAGUCUC
rnacentral:snRNA from 1 species